CCUCUUCGCAUUGCUGAGGACAAAUAUAGUGAAUAUGUGCAUCGAUUGCUCCGGCAGUGACUAUGAGUUUUUCCCCCGCGAGCACUUCCGUCGAAGAGCCCACAAUGAGGUUCUCAUGCACACCAGCCAUCACCUCUGGAUUCCCCGCCUUGCCAAUGCCGCAGAUGAGGCCGUUCUUGACACCAAUGUCAGCCUUGUAGAUCCCAGACCAGUCGACGAUCAAAGCAUUCGUGAUGAGAAGGUCGAUACAGUCAGAUGCUGGCCGAUUAGUAGUCUGUCCCAUGCCCUCUCGG
rnacentral:sRNA from 1 species